CCCGACCUUAUUAUCAGCUCUAACUCAACUUACACAUGCAAGUCUCCGCAACCCAGUGAAUAUGCCCUCAAUCCCCCCACCCGGGGACGAGGAGCGGGCAUCAGGCACAAACAUUAGCCCAAGACGCCUAGCCAAGCCACACCCCCAAGGGAAUUCAGCAGUGAUAAACAUUAAGCCAUAAGUGAAAACUUGACUCAGUUAGUGUUAAGAGGGCCGGUAAAACUCGUGCCAGCCACCGCGGUUAGACGAGAGGCCCUAGUUGAUAUUACAACGGCGUAAAGGGUGGUUAAGGAUAAACAAAAAUAAAGUCAAAUGGCCCCUUGGCCGUCAUACGCUUCUAGGAGUCCGAAGCCCUAAUACGAAAGUAACUUUAAUAAACCCACCUGACCCCACGAAAGCUGAGAAACAAACUGGGAUUAGAUACCCCACUAUGCUCAGCCGUAAACUCAGACAUCCAGCUACAAUUAGAUGUCCGCCAGGGUACUACGAGCAUUAGCUUAAAACCCAAAGGACCUGACGGUGUCUCAGACCCCCCUAGAGGAGCCUGUUCUAGAACCGAUAACCCCCGUUCAACCUCACCACUUCUAGCCACCCCAGCCUAUAUACCGCCGUCGUCAGCUUACCCUGUGAAGGUAAUAAAAGUAAGCAAAAUGGGCACAACCCAAAACGUCAGGUCGAGGUGUAGCGCAUGAAGUGGGAAGAAAUGGGCUACAUUUUCUAAUAUAGAAUAUUACGAACAUGCACCAUGAAACAAUGCUUGAAGGAGGAUUUAGUAGUAAAAGGGAAAUAGAGUGUCCCUUUGAACCCGGCUCUGAGACGCGUACACACCGCCCGUCACUCUCCCCUGUCAAAACGCACCAAAAAUACAUAAUACAACAGCACUGACAAGGGGAGGCAAGUCGUAACACGGUAAGUGUACCGGAAGGUGCACUUGGAUCAAAC
rnacentral:ncRNA from 1 species